GAUGAACGCUGGCGGCGUGCUUAGCACAUGCAAGUCGAACGAAGCACUUCUGAUUGAUUCUUCGGAAGAUUGAUUUAGUGACUGAGUGGCGGACGGGUGAGUAACGCGUGGGUAACCUGCCUCAUACAGGGGGAUAACAGUUAGAAAUGACUGCUAAUACCGCAUAAGCGCACAGUACCGCAUGGUACGGUGGGAAAAACUCCGGUGGUAUGAGAUGGACCCGCGUCUGAUUAGCUAGUUGGUAGGGUAACGGCCUACCAAGGCGACGAUCAGUAGCCGGCCUGAGAGGGUGAACGGCCACAUUGGGACUGAGACACGGCCUAAACUCCUACGGGAGGCAGCAGUGGGGAAUAUUGCACAAUGGGGGAAACUCUGAUGCAGCGACGCCGCGUGAGUGAUGAAGUAUUUCGGUAUGUAAAGCUCUAUCAGCAGGGAAGAAAAUGACGGUACCUGACUAAGAAGCACCGGCUAAAUACGUGCCAGCAGCCGCCGUAACAC
rnacentral:rRNA from 1 species